GUCGAACGGAUUAUUCUUUAUAGCUUGCUACGAGAACAAUUAGUGGCAGACGGGUGAGUAAUGCAUAGGAAUCUACCUAGUAGUAUAGGAUAGCCACUAGAAAUGGUGGGUAAUACUGUAUAAUCCCUGCGGGGGAAAGAUUUAUCGCUACAUGAUGAGCCUAUGUUAGAUUAGCUAGUUGGUGGGGUAAUGGCCUACCAAGGCAGUGAUCUAUAGCUGGUCUGAGAGGAUGAUCAGCCACACUGGAACUGAGACACGGUCCAGACUCCUACGGGAGGCAGCAGUGGGGAAUAUUGGACAAUGGGCGCAAGCCUGAUCCAGCUAUGCCGCGUGAGUGAGGAAGGCCUUAGGGUUGUAAAACUCUUUCAGUAGGGAAGAUAAUGACGGUACCUAUA
rnacentral:rRNA from 1 species